CCUUUGCGCAGGCGCAAAGAUCAACCCAGACGCCGUGCACUCAGACGCCGAGUCUACGUAGGCGCUGGGACUGCGCAGGCGCAGGGGUCUGCGCAGGCGCGUGGCGUCGGACUUCCCUAGAGCGGGCUUGGACUCCAGCUGAACCCGGAAAGUUCCCGCGGGCGGACGCGGACAGAUUCAGUGUCACGGAUCCAGCACCAACUUGGCUGCAGCUGAGCAUCUGAAACCGCCAAGUACCUGCUGACAUCCCAGGAAGGAAGUAGCUGUGUGACCUUCUCAUCAUCACAAAACAGAGGCUCUACAGCCAUUGGAUCUUCUUCUAAGUUAUCAGGGGAGGCAGGAGGCGACCCCAUCCUCAGGAGAUUGACAGCCUACCUGCGGAGA